UCCCUGGUGACUCAGUUGGUAAAGAAUCUGCCUGCAAUGCAGGAGAUGCAGGUUCAAUCCCUGGUUUGGGAA
rnacentral:tRNA from 1 species